rnacentral:misc_RNA from 1 species
UCCUGGUUAACCCAGGCAGUCUCUCUAGAGUGCCCAACUUAAUGCUGGCAACUAAAGAUAGGGGUUGCGCUCGUUGCGAGACUUAACCCAACAUUUCACAACACGAGCUGACGACAGCCAUGCAGCACCUGUCUCGACAUUCCCUUGCGGGCACUCCAACCAUUACAUCGGAUUCGUCGGAUUUCAAGGCUAGGUAAGGUUCUGCGCGUUGCUUCGAAUUAAACCACAUAAUCCACCGCUUGUGCGGGCCCCCGUCAAUUCCUUUGAGUUUUAGUCUUGCGACCGUACUUCCCAGGCGGAGUACUUAAUGCGUUAGCUGCGUCCCUGAGGGAGUCAAUACCCCCAAGAGCUAGUACUCAUCGUUUACGGCGUGGACUAC